CGGCAGUGUCCCCAAUCAUAGAUGCACUCGCCUUGUCACUGGACGUUACAAAUCCCAAUGCCAUGCCCGACAUCACAUCCACCUUCCAGGCAUCUCCCAAUGUUCCUCACGUUAAAAACCUCCCAACGAACCGUCAGCAGCGCCUGGAAUAUCCUCCCCCAGCAACAUCGCACAUGACUUUGCCAAGGCCUCGAGCCCAUUCAUCACCUAAGCCACGAUAUUCUAACCCGGCAUUGACCCUUCGAAAUACUAUGAUUAUUGGCGGGCCUCUUACAAGCAAUCGAUCUCGCAUUUGCAUCAUCGACUUUUUGGGCCGCCCAAAGAGUUCACACUGCAGUUAUUCGCCGACGAUCAUCAUCGCAUCGUCCACUACAGAUCUAGCAACCCUUAUCAGUCUCUACUCCUAGCCAUUUCCCGAUCAUCCCAUUUCCUCGGUCCUCAACCAAUUUCCAUAAAUUUCAAGCGACUAACAAUCGAUUUGUAAGGUA
rnacentral:sRNA from 1 species